AGCCCGAAUUACUCCCCAACAAGUCCGACUUACUCGCCUACCAGUCCAUCAUACUCACCCACAUCUCCGAGUUACAGCCCAACAUCUCCUAGCUACAGUCCUACAUCACCAAGCUACAGCCCUACAUCUCCUAGUUAUAGUCCUACAUCACCAAGUUACAGCCCCACCUCACCAGUUUAUAGCCCUACAUCUCCAGCAUACAGCCCUACAUCUCCCGCAUAUAGCCCCACAUCACCAUCUUACAGUCCAACUUCGCCAUCUUAUAGCCCUACAUCACCAUCAUACAGCCCAACAUCCCCCUCAUACAGCCCUACCUCCCCCUCAUACAGCCCUACCUCCCCCUCAUACAGCCCUACCUCCCCCUCGUACAGCCCAACAUCACCUGCAUACAGCCCUACUUCGCCAGGAUACAGCCCAACAUCACCGAGCUACAGUCCUACUUCUCCGAGCUACAGUCCUAC
rnacentral:lncRNA from 1 species